rnacentral:rRNA from 1 species
UAAAGCUCUGACCUUACGGAACGAGCGCAUUUAUUAGAACAAAACCAAUCGGGUUUCGGCCCGUUCGUUGGUGACUCUGAAUAACUCUGCCGAUCGCACGGUCUCGCACCGGCGACAUAUCUUUCAAGUGUCUGCCUUAUCAACUUUCGAUGGUAGUUUAUGUGCCUACCAUGGUUGUAACGGGUAACGGAGAAUAAGGGUUCGACUCCGGAGAGGGAGCCUGAGAAACGGCUACCACAUCCAAGGAAGGCAGCAGGCGCGCAAAUUACCCACUCUCGGCACGAGGAGGUAGUGACGAAAAAUAACGAGACGGAUCUCUUUGAGGCCCGUUAUCGGAAUGAGAACAAUUCAAAUCCUUUAACGAGGAUCUAGCGGAGGGCAAGUCUGGUGCCAGCAGCCGCGGUAAUUCCAGCUCCGCAGGUGUAUAUCUAUGCUGCUGCGGUUAAAAAGCUCGUAGUUGGAUCUGCGUGCUCGGAACUGGUUGGCUCACUGAGUUCAAACCGGUCUCCGGCGCUUUAUUGGCUGGUUUUCCCUUGGUGCUCUUAACCGGGUGUCUUGGGUGGCUAGCACGUUUACUUUGAAAAAAUUAGAGUGCUCAAUACAGGCGUAAAGCCUUGAAUAGUGGUGCAUGGAAUAAUAGAAUAGGACCUCGGCUCUAUUUUGUUGGUUUUCGGAACGCGAGGUAAUGAUUAAGAGGGACAGACGGGGGCAUUCGUAUUGCGACGUUAGAGGUGAAAUUUUUGGAUCGUCGCAAGACGGACGACUGCGAAAGCAUUUGCCAAGAAUGUUUUCAUUAAUCAAGAACGAAAGUUAGAGGUUCGAAGGCGAUCAGAUACCGCCCUAGUUCUAACCGUAAACGAUGCCAACUAGCGAUUCGCAGGCGUUAAACAACGACCUUGCGGGCAGCUUCCCGGAAACGAAAGUGUUCGGGUUCCGGGGGAAGUAUGGUUGCAAAGCUGAAACUUAAAGGAAUUGACGGAAGGGCACCACCAGGAGUGGAGCCUGCGGCUUAAUUUGACCCAACACGGGAAAACUCACCCGGCCCGGACACCGUAAGGAUUGACAGAUUGAGAGCUCUUUCUUGAUUCGGUGGGGGGUGGUGCAUGGCCGUUCUUAGUUGGUGGAGCGAUUUGUCUGGUUUAUUCCGAUAACGAACGAGACUCUGGCCUACUAAAUAGUGGGCGGAUUCUUUCUGUCCGCAACACUUCUUAGAGGGACAAGCGGUGUUCAGCCGCACGAGAUUGAGCAAUAACAGGUCUGUGAUGCCCUUAGAUGUCCGGGGCUGCACGCGCGCUACACUGAAGGAAUCAGCGUGCUUUCUGACCUUGCCCGAAAGGGCUGGGUAACCCGAUGAAAAUCCUUCGUGAUUGGGAUAGGGACUUGCAAUUAUUUCCCUU